CGUUUGAUAAUCAUUUAAAAUACGAUUCCUUCGUUCCGCUUAUUUUGUUUUCUAUCAUUUUUAUAGGAAAUCCUCCUUGAACAUUUUUUUGAUUUCGCUGGUCCCGCUGUAUAUCUCUUGACUUUUGUCUUUUGUGAUUUUUUGAUAUUAAAUACUUUCCUCCUCGAUUUUCAACUCCGCUAUUACUGUCUCUUUUAAAUUCUUUCCCUUUCUUCCUUUUAAUCUUCAAAACAAAAAUACUUUCUCUCUUUUUCUAUUAAAAGAGUGAAUUACUAUUUUCGUUUGUUUACAUCCCAUUUUUCUCCACAUUAUUGACACUGUUUGUUUGUUUUUUACUCCAACAUCCGAUAGUGACAAGCCCCCUUUUUGAUUAAUCGUCGAAUUUUUUGGAACAUUGAGCGAUUAUCCUUAUUGUUUGUUUACAUAAUUUGUUGACUUUGGUGUUUGUUUAUUAACCAAUUUUUUUCCUAUAAAAGCGGUCCUCACCUCGGUACUUUUCUUCUUUCUCUAUAUUAUAUCUUUUGAGAUUUUCUAUACAGACUCUUUUAACUUGGGAAAUAAAGACUAUCCUUUCAUUCCUUAAAGAAAAAAAGUCCUUUCUCUUCGGUAUUCUUAUUCUCUGUAUUCUUAUAAGGUUUAUAUACAUAUAGCGUUGUAUUAUUAAAUACCAAGGAUUCUCUAUACUUACUCUUCUAUUCUUUCCUUCUUUCUCUAAUAUUACUA